AUUGAACGCUGGCGGCAGGCUUAACACAUGCAAGUCGAGCGGGGUGAUGGUGCUUGCACUAUCACUUAGCGGCGGACGGGUGAGUAAUGCUUAGGAAUCUGCCUAUUAGUGGGGGACAACAUCUCGAAAGGGAUGCUAAUACCGCAUACGUCCUACGGGAGAAAGCAGGGGAUCACUUGUGACCUUGCGCUAAUAGAUGAGCCUAAGUCGGAUUAGCUAGUUGGUGGGGUAAAGGCCUACCAAGGCGACGAUCUGUAGCGGGUCUGAGAGGAUGUUCCGCCACACUGGGACUGAGACACGGCACAGACUCCCACGGGAGGCAGCAGUGGGGAAUAUUGGACAAUGGGGGGAACCCUGAUCCAGCCAUGCCGCGUGUGUGAAGAAGGCCUUAUGGUUGUAAAGCACUUUAAGCGAGGAGGAGGCUCUUUUGGUUAAUACCCAAGAUGAGUGGACGUUACUCGCAGAAUAAGCACCGGCUAACUCUGUGCCAGCCGCCGCCGUAA
rnacentral:rRNA from 1 species